CAGCAGCACCAUCAGUUCGUGUGACUCAGGAUAUGCUUCAAGAAAAUGCAAAGGUAUUUUCUCCAUCCCUGAAAAUGAUGCAAUAAGACAACACCCACAAUUUGCAUUUAGUACGAUUUUUGUAAUCAGCAUUUUCCACAGAGAUUUUCACUCCCAAACAAAGACGAUAUGCAGUGCAGGAUGGGAUGAGAGAACAUGAUGACAUGUUACCUGGAACAACAACCUCUUCCAGCACCAAUUCAUUUGACUAAGGAUAUGCUUCAAGAAAAUGCACAUCCAUUUUCUCCAUCCCUGAAAAUGCCAAACAGAACAAACAAAAAAAUGUGUCAACUACGAAUAAGACCAGCAGUAGAGACAAAGUUGUUUGUCCACUCCAGGUGCCACUAUGACCAGCCAUGAGUAAACAGUAAUGAGGCUCUCUGAAUGUAGUCACGGCCCUGAUCAUAUUGUCCAGAAAUUUGUAAUUUGAGAGUCGACUUGGAGGAAAAGUGCAUACAGGCAUCUGAAGUGAAACAUUGCUAUAGUGUGCAAUGUAGAUCAUGCAGCAUGUCACACAAAAACACCCUUCUGUAGAGCUUGUUUUACCUGCUGGGGGGGGUGGAUUUGUGUGCUUGCGCGUGCCUCAAAAGAAUGACUUACAAAGAUACAUAACAGCUACAAGUGUAUGCACUACUUGUAGCACUAUAUAGGAUAAAUCACUAUACAGGAUUUACCCUAUUAUACUUUAUCGACACAAAUUGAUAGGUGAAACAACAAACAGCCACCCACAAAUAGUCUAUAAACAAAGCAUCAGGCUGUCUUUGAGUUCACAUGAACAACAGUUAAAGUUACUCGUCGUCAGGCUACAGAAGAAUACCAUAAUUCCUCCGUUCAAUUGGGCCUACGACAUCGAGAGUCACGCAGACCUAUAACAACCCAGCCACAACACAUAAUUGCGAAUAACAUGCCUUACCAUAACACAGAAUCGGCCACAGAGUCCAACAUUUAUAUUUUUUCUACGAAUCUUUAAGUUAACACAUUGUCAAUAUUUUUUGAGACCCCCCAAAACUUCACAAAUCACGUUUUCAGGGGAGCCCAUGUCUUAUUAAGGGGAGCCGAGCUCCCCCUAGCUCCCCCGUAGUUCGCACCCUGUAUAUACUGUAUGUUUUGUCCACUGAAUACAAUUGCAGAAGUAUGGGGAUUUCGUUUUUUCC
ensembl:lncRNA